rnacentral:tRNA from 1 species
CCCUGGGUGGCUCAGUUGGUUAAGCGUCUGACUUCAGCUCAGGUCAUGAUCCCGUGGUUCGUGGGUUUGAGCCCCAUGUCAGGCU